rnacentral:rRNA from 1 species
UACGUAGGGUGCGAGCGUUGUCCGGAAUUAUUGGGCGUAAAGGGCUCGUAGGCGGCCAACUAAGUCGGAUGUGAAAUCCCCAGGCUUAACCUGGGAACUGCAUCCGAUACUGGAUGGCUUGAAUCCGGGAGAGGGAUGCAGAAUUCCAGGUGUAGCGGUGAAAUGCGUAGAUAUCUGGAGGAAUACCGGUGGCGAAGGCGGCAUCCUGGACCGGCAUUGACGCUGAUGAGCGAAAGCUAGGGGAGCAAACGGG